rnacentral:rRNA from 1 species
AGGAUUCCCUAGUAACUGCGAGUGAACCGGGAAAAGCUCAAAUUUUGAAUCUGGCGGUCCAAGGGCCGUCCGAGUUGUAAUCUAGAGAAGCGUCUUCCGCGCUGGACCGUGUAUAAGUUUCCUGGAAUGGAACGUCGUAGAGGGUGACAAUCCCGUCUUUGACACGGACUCCCAGUGCUAUGUGAUGCGCUCUCGACGAGUCGAGUUGUUUGGGAAUGCAGCUCAAAUAGGGUGGUAAAUUCCAUCUAAAGCUAAAUACAGGCGAGAGACCGAUAGCGAACAAGUACCGUGAGGGAAAGAUGAAAAGAACUUUGGAAAGAGAGUUAAACAGUACGUGAAAUUGCUGAAAGGGAAACGCUUGAUGUCAGUCGCAUCGUCCGGGGAUCAGCCUCGCUCUUUUGCUCGGCGUACUUCCUGGUCGAUGGGUCAGCAUCGGUUUCGACCGUCGGAAAAUGGCUCGAGGAACGUGGCACUCUUCGGGGUGUGUUAUAGCCUCGAGUCGAAUACGACGGUCGGGACCGAGGAACUCAGCACGACCUUCGGGUUCGGGGCUUCGGCUCACGUUCGCGUGCUUAGGAU